AACGAACGCUGGCGGCAGGCUUAAUACAUGCAAGUCGAGCGCCCCGCAAGGGGAGCGGCAGACGGGUGAGUAACGCGUGGGAACGUACCCUUUGCUACGGAAUAGCUCCGGGAAACUGGAAUUAAUACCGUAUGUGCCCUACGGGGGAAAGAUUUAUCGGCAAAGGAUCGGCCCGCGUUGGACUAGCUAGUUGGUGGGGUAAUGGCCUACCAAGGCGACGAUCCAUAGCUGGUCUGAGAGGAUGAUCAGCCACAUUGGGACUGAGACACGGCCCAAACUCCUACGGGAGGCAGCAGUGGGGAAUAUUGGACAAUGGGCGCAAGCCUGAUCCAGCCAUGCCGCGUGAGUGAUGAAGGCCUUAGGGUUGUAAAGCUCUUUCACCGGAGAAGAUAAUGACGGUAUCCGGAGAAGAAGCCCCGGCUAACUUCGUGCCAGCAGCCGCGGUAACAC
rnacentral:rRNA from 1 species